rnacentral:lncRNA from 1 species
CUGUAACCCUGUAUACAAGCUCUCAAAAGCUGCCGUCUUAGCCGCCGUAACUGCUAACUUAGCCUCCUUCCUAGCUAACUUGUACUCUUUUCUGUUUACCCGCUUCUCUUCUUCGUCUUUACUCUCAACCAACUUAGCAUACGCCCCUCUCUUGGUUUCCACUUUCUUCUGAACCUCUUCAUUCCACCACCAAUCCUUCCGAUGAUGCCCGACCCGGCCCCUAGAAACACCCAACACCUCACUAGCAUUCUCCCUGAUGCACCUAGCCACCCUAUCCCACAUACUAUCCACGUCCCCCCU